UACGUAGGGGGCAAGCGUUGUCCGGAUUCAUUGGGCGUAAAGAGCGUGUAGGCGGCCAGGUAGGUCGGUUGUGAAAACUGGAGGCUCAACCUUCAGAGGUCGACCGAAACCAUCUGGCUAGAGUCCGGGAGAGGAGAGUGGAAUUCCUGGUGUAGCGGUGAAAUGCGCAGAUAUCAGGAAGAACACCCGUGGCGAAAGCGGCUCUCUGGAACGGUACUGACGCUGAGGAGCGAAAGCGUGGGGAGCAAACAGG
rnacentral:rRNA from 1 species